rnacentral:rRNA from 1 species
GUGUCAGCCGCCGCGGUAAUACGAAGGUGGCAAGCGUUGUUCGGAUUUACUGGGCGUACAGGGAGCGUAGGCGGUUGGAUAAGCCCUCCGUGAAAUCUCCAGGCUUAACCUGGAAAGUGCAGAGGGGACUGUUCAGCUAGAGGAUGGGAGAGGAGCGCGGAAUUCCCGGUGUAGCGGUGAAAUGCGUAGAGAUCGGGAGGAAGGCCGGUGGCGAAGGCGGCGCUCUGGAACAUUUCUGACGCUGAGGCUCGAAAGCGUGGGGAGCAAACAGGAUUAGAUACCCUGGUAGUCCACGCCUUAAACGAUGGAUACUAAGUGUCGGCGGGUUACCGCCGGUGCCGCAGCUAACGCAGUAAGUAUCCCGCCUGGGAAGUACGGCCGCAAGGUUGAA